rnacentral:RNase_P_RNA from 1 species
UGAGGUAGAUGGGCAAUCGCGGGCCGUUCGAGGCCCGAGGAAAGUCCGAACUCCACAGAGCGGGAUGCUGGAUAACGUCCAGUGAGGGUGACCUUAAGGAAAGUGCCACAGAAACAUACCGCCGCUGCUUGUGGGCAGUGGUAAGGGUGAAAUGGUGAGGUAAGAGCUUCACCGGCAGCCGGGUGACCGGUUGGACGGGUAAACCCCAUCUGGAGCAAGACCAAGCAGGGGGAAUAGCCGGGUGCGAGAGCGCCUGGUUAGCAGGUUGCUCGUCUGUCAACCUCCGGGUUGGUCGCUUGAGGCGCCGGGUAAUCGGCGUCCUAGAUAGAUGAUUGCCACCCGUGGCGUCGAGAGGCGGUACGGAAACAGAAUUCGGCUUAUAGUCUACCUCAACUC